GCGGCCUAUCAGCUUGUUGGUGGGGUGAUGGCCUACCAAGGCGACGACGGGUAGCCGGCCUGAGAGGGCGACCGGCCACACUGGGACUGAGACACGGCCCAGACUCCUACGGGAGGCAGCAGUGGGGAAUAUUGCACAAUGGGCGGAAGCCUGAUGCAGCGACGCCGCGUGAGGGAUGACGGCCUUCGGGUUGUAAACCUCUUUCAGCAGGGACGAAGCGCAAGUGACGGUACCUGCAGAAGAAGCGCCGGCCAACUACGUGCCAGCAGCCGCGGUAAGACGUAGGGCGCGAGCGUUGUCCGGAUUUAUUGGGCGUAAAGAGCUCGUAGGCGGCUUGUCGCGUCGUCCGUGAAAACCUGCAGCUCAACUGCAGGCUUGCGGGCGAUACGGGCAGGCUAGAGUUCGGUAGGGGAGACUGGAAUUCCUGGUGUA
rnacentral:rRNA from 1 species